AGUACCCUGCUGUGUACGUGAUGUAGCAAACAAGUUUUGGGCCAACACCUACAAAAAGGAUCCGAACUUUUUCUGGUGACGUGAUAGACACUUUAUAGUCAAGACCGAGCCUGAAAGUAGGAUCAUCCUGCUUAUUAGCAGGUUCAAAACCACCCUGCACACGGCAUAGCGGGGCUAAC
rnacentral:other from 1 species